UACAGAGGUGGCAAGCGUUGUUCGGAAUUACUGGGCGUAAAGGGCGUGUAGGCGGUCCGAUAAGUCCCGUGUGAAAGCCCCCGGCUCAACUGGGGAACUGCACGGGAAACUGACGGACUUGAGUUCGGGAGAGGGAAGCGGAAUUCCGGGUGUAGCGGUGAAAUGCGUAGAUAUCCGGAGGAACACCGGUGGCGAAGGCGGCUUCCUGGACCGACACUGACGCUGAGGCGCGAAAGCCAGGGGAGCAAACGGG
rnacentral:rRNA from 1 species